UAUAGGUUUGGUCCCAGCCUUCCUGUUAACUUUCAAUAGACUUAUACAUGCAAGCAUCCACGCCCCGGUGAGUAACGCCCUUCGAAUCACACAGGACUAAAAGGAGCAGGUAUCAAGCACACACUCUUGUAGCUCACAACGCCUUGCUUAACCACACCCCCACGGGAGACAGCAGUAACAAAAAUUAAGCCAUAAACGAAAGUUUGACUAAGCCAUAUUGACCAGGGUUGGUAAAUCUCGUGCCAGCCACCGCGGUCAUACGAUUGACCCAAGCUAACAGGAGUACGGCGUAAAGCGUGUUAAAGCAUCAUACUAAAUAGAGUUAAAUUUUAAUUAAACUGUAAAAAGCCAUAAUUAUAACAAAAAUAAAUGACGAAAGUAACCCUACAAUAGCUGAUACACCAUAGCUAAGACCCAAACUGGGAUUAGAUACCCCACUAUGCU
rnacentral:rRNA from 1 species